CUCCUCCCAGCCGCCCUCAAACUCUCUCAAAUCUUUCCUCUUUUCUAUGAAACCCUAGCCGCCUCGCACUAAAUCCUCUCCAAAUCCGGCCACACCACGGAAUCUCUCCGUGAUUUACUUACCUCAUAUGAGCUACUAAGUUAUUAUUUGCAUGCCCAGUGAAUCACUUAGUAAUUACAAGGUUUUGUCAAGUACUAUCUCUCAGAAUCAAGCCAAUUGACUUCUAUUCCUCAAGAUUCAGUCGACAUUCUGUCUGUAUACACUGAAAAUAAGGUUAUACAGGUUUUGGAAUGGAGGUUUGAAGUAUAUCAUCAGCACCUAGAGUUUUGGGCCACCGUCCAUCUGAAGUCUUAAGCCUACUUGAAGGCCCGGAUGUAUUACUAGGUUACUUCACAUUUGUAAUUGGGUCUAUAGUAAAUUUUUUUGGGCCUGUAAUAAUUUGAGAAAAAACAAAUGGUGGGGGAAAUUAGUUAAAAGGGGUUAGAGUAUUUUAAUUUUCGUACAAACGGGUAGAAAACAUGCCUAUCGGGUCCGAAUGACCUUACUUGCUACUUGUUUGUCGUGUUUUAAUUCUAUGCACUACCUGAAAAUAGACAGCAUGCCUAUAGGACCAUCAACUUUGUAUAUUCGAUUAGAAAUCAUGAUCUAGGACCCUAAGUAACUGUUGAUUCAAUGCGGCUAAUGUAAUUUAUAACUUGUUUAGAAGACAUGCCUAUAGGACAAACAUCAAGUUAACUUGUUCGAAUAUUUACUCCUCUACUUAUAAAUCAUGUAUUAGAAAUCAACACUUAGCUAUCAUGCCUAUAGGAGUCUAUGUUAAGUAGUUUCAUAGUUGAAACUACUUGUGCUAAUAUGUCCUUCAACCGUGUUAUCCGUACUUAUCCUCCUAGAGAUCGUGACUAUAGGGUCUGUAAUUAAGGAUUUGCAUCACUUAACUACUGAUCUAUCUAAAAAUAGUCCAAAAUAAUCGUUUAGAAAUCUUGCCUAUAUGACUUUAAAAAGGAAGUCCAAUUUUUUGAUUACCCGCGUAUGAAUUCUGAGCUUGAUUAAUUAUAAUUGAUCAUCUGCGUAUUCAUAUAGAGACCAUGCCUUAGACAUAAUUAUUCCAUACACAACAGUUUGUCUUAGAAGAGCAUUUCCCUGUCUAUUCUGCUAUUGCCUAUCGUUGUUGUUUGACAAUUACUCGAUGUGCAUAUGAAUCUAUCUGUGGAGGUAAACAUAAGUGAUAAUUGUUGCCUUAUAUGGAGUCCUAUUUGUUUAUAUUACGUGGCUCCUAGUCUUUUAAUUUUGAGCAGCCUAGGAUGAGUCGAGAACUGCCUAUAUAAAAGGUCCAAUACUUCAUGGACCAUAAGCAUGGGAUGGGUAGGCACAAGUAGGGUACGACCUAGAAUCGAAUUAGUGCUCUUUAGGUUAGAAACUUAAAGAUAAUAAUUGGGUAGCUGGAGAUAAAAGUCUAUGCUCGAUGGAUAAUAUGAGCAACCAUUGCAAUCGAAAGGUUGCAAAGUAUUAUCUAUGUAGCACGGGGCGAUCCUUUAGGCUUAAAUAUUUAGGACCCCCAUUAUGCUUAUUUAGUCCCUGUAUAUUUAGUUUGUGGGAAUCCGGAUUCAACUAAGUUACACCUUCUAGUCUCUAAAGAGUUGUACUUAUUAGUUUGUUAAUGAAUGAAGUUUACUCUUCCAGAUUA